rnacentral:rRNA from 1 species
ACACGUAGGGGCCUGACGUUGUUCGGAAUCAUUGGGCGUAAAGGGCGCGCAGGCGGCCGUCCAAGUCCGGUGUUAAAUGGUCGGGCUCAACCCGAUCAUGCGCUGGAAACUGGGCGGCUGGAGUCCCGGAGGGGAUGCCGGAAUUCCAGGUGUAGGGGUGAAAUCUGUAGAUAUCUGGAAGAACACCGAUGGCGAAGGCAGGCAUCUGGCCGGAGACUGACGCUGAGGCGCGAAGGCGCGGGGAGCGAACAGGUUUAGAUACCCUGGUAGUCCGCGCAGUAAACGAUGCGCACCAGGUGUCGGGCGGCAGCGCCCGGUACCGGAGCUAACGCGAUGAGUGCGCCGCCUGGGGAGUAUGCCCGCAAGGGUGAAACUCAAAUGAAUUGACGGGG